rnacentral:pre_miRNA from 3 species
AGUGAGAUUGCUGGGUCAUGUAUGGUAUAUGCAUGUUUAACUCUAUAAGAAAGUGCCAAACUUUUUUCCAGAGUGGCUGUACCAUUUUGUGUUCCCACCAGCAAU